rnacentral:rRNA from 1 species
CCUACGGGUGGCAGCAGUGAGGAAUAUUGGUCAAUGGACGAGAGUCUGAACCAGCCAAGUAGCGUGAAGGAUGACUGCCCUAUGGGUUGUAAACUUCUUUUAUAUGGGAAUAAAACGUUCCACGUGUGGCAUUUUGUAUGUACCAUAUGAAUAAGGAUCGGCUAACUCCGUGCCAGCAGCCGCGGUAAUACGGAGGAUCCGAGCGUUAUCCGGGUUUAUUGGGGUUAAAGGGAGCGUAGGUGGGUUGUUAAGUCAGUUGUGAAAGUUUGCGGCUCAACCGUAAAAUUGCAGUUGAAACUGGCAGUCUUGAGUACAGUAGAGGUAGGCGGAAUGCGUGGUGUAGCGGUGAAAUGCUUAGAUAUCACGAAGAACUCCGAUUGCGAAGGCAGCUGACUGGACUGCAACUGACACUGAGGCUCGAAAGUGUGGGUAUCAAACAGGAUUAGAUACCCGAGUAGUC